ensembl:lncRNA
CCUCAAUCUCUGCCUCUGGAGUGAGUUUCCUCCCCUUGGCUAAUUCUGUGAAAUUCAAGCAAGCCCCCCCCCCCCCCCUUGUACAUGUACAGGGGGCUCCCCUAUACAACCCGCCUGUACAGGGACCAUCCUAGGGUCUCUGCCUCCACUCAUUACAAAGCUUACAUUCCCAAGCACAUUAUAGCCUCACUCUUGGGAUGCCGCACGAGAUUUUACCUUUGAGGUUCUCGGAAUUCUCAAGAUACCUCCCCAGGUGGGACCCCCCUCCCAAGGGGUGUACUCCCACACCGAUCACGAUCACCCAACCUAUACCUGUGGAUUCACCCUUGGGGGAGCACCCUCACUCCAUCACCGUGUGAAGGUUUUGUCCAAAGUCUCCCACAGAUCCUUUCAUGGAAUCAACAUGGAAAAAACUGUCACGAGAACAUGAGGUCACACAGAAUAUUGCAAAUACCAAUCAGAUGUUCAACUCUUCCAGAGUUUCUAGAGGAAUCAGAAUUCCCUCACAGAUGCCAUCUACAUCCUGCCUACAAUGUGGCCAAAAGCCAUUUUGGAUUUCAAAGGUUUUCCCACCAAACUUCCACCUUCACAACAUGAUCACUACAUAAUGAGGUGGAAAAACCCAUUUUACCCAGUGCAUUCUAGAGAAUGAAGUGAAAAACCCCGCAGGUUUUUGGGGUGAAUCAGAAGAGAGAAUAAACUGAAAGCUGCCAUCUCAAAGUGAAAACCUCAGAUUUGCUGCCAUCAAAAACUCGGAGAAAGAUAAAAGGUGGAUUUGUCUUCAUGGCAUUUCACCUUCUUUAGCAACUGGUUCCUUUUCUGAGACAUUUGCACCUUUCUUGAAAACUUUGCCCUGCACUUACUUACCAUAAGUAAAUAGACUCAGUUAAAAUCAUGGAGAGAAAGUGGAGUAGAGCAGGGUAAGAGCCAAAAUGAAGGCUACAUUGGGAUUCCUUCCAAAGGGUGUCCAAAAGCUACUUACAUCUUUAUUGACUCUCCCAGAAAUUUUCUACUCUGGACUUCAAAUAUUUUGUUAUAGAAAUAACUUAUUCUAGAAAUCUAACAGGGCAGAACAAGCUAUCACUAAGUCUGUGAAUACCACUGCUGCAUAUGAGCUUUAUCUCACUUUUAUUCUUAGAUCACCACUGUUGUAGUAAUCCUAUUAGCAUCCUUUGCAAGCUGACAGCUCUGUCAGUGCCUAUGUACACAUUUUGGUAUUUCUCUGACCAAAAAUAUCUGAAAUCUCCUCAGACAUCAUUAUAAUCGAUGUUCAUUUUAGAGGACAGGAUGUUUUGUCAAUAACUUUGUGGUACAUUCUUGCCAGCGUUGAAAUCCAACUCUGCCAAGUAAAAUCUGUCAUUUAAAGGGCUACAUGAUGCUUCGCAGGAGGGGCUUGGCAAGGUUUGCCUUUUGUUCUACAGACAAAUUCCAAAGCUCCUGAAAUUUAUUAAGAUUCACAACUGAUACGCUGACCACUUAAAGGGGGCAUCAGAGAAGGUGCAAAGAUCAGAUUUAAAACCUAUUUAAAUAAAGUUCACUGAUGUUAGGUCAAGGAUUUGGAUUUUGCACAGUGUGUUCAGAAUAUAUUCAGAGUAGUUCUGCAAAUUCCAACUGACGAAACAGUAAGUGUCUAAAGAACGGUACUGAAAUAAGUCAAAAGCUGGAAGUAUACUAGCAUAUACCAAUGCUUUAUCAGUAACAUAGACGAUGGCAUUGAGUGCACCCUCAGCAAGUUUGCAGAUGACACCAAGCUGAGCGGUGCAGUCAAUACGUUGGAAAGAAGGGAAGCCAUCCAGAGGGACCUGGACAGGCUGGAGAAGUGGACCCAUGAAAACCAAAUGAGGUUCAAUAAGGCCAAGUGCAGGGUGCUGCACUUGGGUUGGGGCAAUCCCAAGUAUUUAUACAAACUGGGGGAAGAUCUCCUUGAGAGCAGCCCUGUGGAGAAGGACUUGAGGGUCCUGGGAGAUGAGAAGCUGGACAUGAGCCAGCAGCGUGCACUUGCAGCCCGGAAGGCCAACUGUGUUCUGGGCUGCAUUAAAAAAGGGGUGGCCAGCAGGGAGAGGGAGGUGAUUGUCCCCCUCUACUCAGCUCUUGUGUGGCCCCAUCUGGAGUACUGCAUCCAGGCCUGGGGCCCCCAGUACAGGAAGGACGUGGAGCUCUUGGAGCAGGUCCAGAGGAGGGCCACUAAGAUUAUCAGAGGGCUGCAGCACCUCUCCUAUGAGGAAAGGUUGAGGGAACUGGGCUUGUUUAGUUUGGAGAAGAGAAGGCUCUGGGAAGACCUCAUUGUGGCCUUCCAGUAUUUGAAAGGAGCAUAUAAACAGGAGGAGGAAGGGCUGUUUGCAAGGGUGGAUAGUGAUAGGACAAGGGGGAAUGGUUUUAAACUGAGACAGGGGAGGUUUAGGUUGGAUAUUAGGAAGAAGUUUUUCACCCAGAGGGUGGUGACACACUGGAACAGGUUGCCCAAGGAGCUUGUAGAUGCCCCAUCCCUGAAGGCAUUCAAGGCCGGGCUGGAUGUGGCUCUGGGCAGCCUGGUCUAGUGGUGGGCGACCCUGCACAUAGCAGGGAGGUUGAAACUCAAUGAUCGUUAUGGUCCUUUUCAACCCAGGCCAUUCUAUGAUAUAUAUGACAAAGGUAAAAUUGCUCUUCUAUUGUUGUAUGUCUGUGAUGAUUUUGAAGACAGACACAGCAUCAACAAGCAGGACAACAGGUUAAGAAGGAGACAGAAUUGAAGAUAGACUUCCUUCACAUUUUAUUUUUUUCUCCCUCAUUUAUCAAGACAGGAUGUCCAGAUUUUAGAGAAAGGAGAGCAGCAAGUGGCUCUGCAGGGACAAAUGGGACAGACAGAUACCUCUGGCAACUGGCCCAAAGCAGAGGUUGGACCCUGUCUUUCUCCCUCCCAUCCAUUUCGUUUUGAAAGCUGCAAGAUUCUAGGGCUGUUUCCUGGUAGGCAGACAUACAGAAAAUGCUGUGUCUUCUAUGGAAAGGCAUCUGCUGCUAAAAUCAUGGACAAGACAAUAGUUCAGGGGCCCACAUUACAUCCAGACAUCACAGCCUCAAUAAGUGUCCUGAUGCUUCAGGAUGCAUACCUACUUCUUCAGGUUCAGAUUAUUCAGAUUGGAUAUUAGGAAAAACUUCUUCUCACAAAGAGUGGUGGUGCACUGGCACAGGCUGCCCAGGGAGGUGAUGGAGUCACCAUCCCUGAGGUGUUCAAGAGCUGUGUAGAUGUGGCACUGAGGGACAUGGUUAGUGGAGAUGGUGGGGAUGGGUCACUGGUUGGACUGGGUGAUCUUAGAGGUUUUUUCUGACCUUGAUAAUUCUAUGAGUCUUCAUUUGGCACAUUUAACCCUGUACUCUUUUA